CGUGUAGGCGGUAUGUUAAGUCCGGUGUGAAAGUCACAGGCUCAACCUGUGAAUGCCGCUGGAAACUGUCUGGCUAGAGUCCGGUAGGGGCGAGUGGAAUUCCUGGUGUAGCGGUGAAAUGCGCAGAUAUCAGGAGGAACACCAAUGGCGAAGGCAGCUCGCUGGAACGGUACUGACGCUGAGGCGCGAAAGCGUGGGAGCGAACA
rnacentral:rRNA from 1 species